AAAGGCAGGCAAAUGGCAUGUGGGGGCCGUGCCCUGUGGUGAUGGUUGUCCUGCAGUGCUAUAAACACCCGUGCUUUCUUCAGGACUCGAAACACAUGGCGUGGAUCAGCUUCCCUACGUUUCCCAAGUUCCUGCUGAGCCCCGGGAGGAAGGAGACCCAGCAGUGUGUGCCUCCUGGCAGGGAUGAGGCAAUUUGACCAUUUGGAUGUGUUCAAAUCUGGAGGAAAGGUAAAAUCUUCACACUGCAAAGGAGUUUUUAGGAAACACAUUACAAAACCAGAAGAUGAGCAAAGGCAUUCCUGUACCCAAACUGAGAUAAGGGAGUUUAAUUGCCAUCUACCACGUUUCUGAGGUGUUUAUUAUGAGAAGAGGUGUCACGAGGUGCGUGGUAGA